rnacentral:rRNA from 1 species
AUUGAACGCUGGCGGCAGGCCUAACACAUGCAAGUCGAGCGGAUGAAGGGAGCUUGCUCCUGGAUUCAGCGGCGGACGGGUGAGUAAUGCCUAGGAAUCUGCCUGGUAGUGGGGGAUAACGUCCGGAAACGGGCGCUAAUACUGCAUACGUCCUGAGGGAGAAAGUGGGGGAUCUUCGGACCUCACGCUAACAGAUGAGCCUAGGUCGGAUUAGCUAGUUGGUGGGGUAAAGGCCUACCAAGGCGACGAUCCGUAACUGGUCUGAGAGGAUGAUCAGUCACACUGGAACUGAGACACGGUCCAGACUCCUACGGGAGGCAGCAGUGGGGAAUAUUGGACAAUGGGCGAAAGCCUGAUCCAGCCAUGCCGCGUGUGUGAAGAAGGUCUUCGGAUUGUAAAGCACUUUAAGUUGGGAGGAAGGGCAGUAAGUUAAUACCUUGCUGUUUUGACGUUACCAACAGAAUAAGCACCGGCUAACUUCGUG